UAGUUUGCAAAACGAGACACGCGCCUGCCGAUAGCGAAUCGAGUGAGUCGAUGCAGGUGGUCGUCGUCCAUGUCAGAUAUUAAAAUCGCGCUGAAAACGGCAACGUCAAAUAGCCAUGUAUUCGCCAAGUAUAAACUCCCGUCGCGAUCGACAGCUGAUUUCAUUGCGUUACAUAUAUGUGUGUGUGUGUGUGUAUAUAUAUAUUUAUGUAUCGACUGCGGUGCUGACGAAGACUCGAUCAUUCCCCUCGUCGAUCGCCACGUAGGGAUAAGGAAACCAAUAACAACCAGAAUAUGAUGCAACAACGAACAACAAUCGAGACGCCGACGGCCACGUAGCACUUUGUACACUCGGCUUCCAUACGUGAACACGUGGCACCGUGCUACGCAGCAGCACCAAUAUCUCUGUUCAAGCGUGGGUCACGACGACGACGGCAACAGCACCGAUAGCGUAUCUCAUUUUAUUACACGUACGCACGUAUAUAUGCCUGUGGUAGGAUAAGCUCAAGCGACGGAAAAAGAAUUUUUAAAACUAA